rnacentral:rRNA from 1 species
GGUAGCUUGCUACCGGACCUAGCGGCGGACGGGUGAGUAAUGCUUAGGAAUCUGCCUAUUAGUGGGGGACAACAUCUCGAAAGGGAUGCUAAUACCGCAUACGUCCUACGGGAGAAAGCAGGGGAUCUUCGGACCUUGCGCUAAUAGAUGAGCCUAAGUCGGAUUAGCUAGUUGGUGGGGUAAAGGCCUACCAAGGCGACGAUCUGUAGCGGGUCUGAGAGGAUGAUCCGCCACACUGGGACUGAGACACGGCCCAGACUCCUACGGGAGGCAGCAGUGGGGAAUAUUGGACAAUGGGCGCAAGCCUGAUCCAGCCAUGCCGCGUGUGUGAAGAAGGCCUUAUGGUUGUAAAGCACUUUAAGCGAGGAGGAGGCUACUUUAGAUAAUACCUAGAGAUAGUGGACGUUACUCGCAGAAUAAGCACCGGCUAACUCUGUGCCAGCAGCCGCGGUAAUACAGAGGGUGCAAGCGUUAAUCGGAUUUACUGGGCGUAAAGCGCGCGUAGGCGGCUAAUUAAGUCAAAUGUGAAAUCCCCGAGCUUAACUUGGGAAUUGCAUUCGAUACUGGUUAGCUAGAGUGUGGGAGAGGAUGGUAGAAUUCCAGGUGUAGCGGUGAAAUGCGUAGAGAUCUGGAGGAAUACCGAUGGCGAAGGCAGCCAUCUGGCCUAACACUGACGCUGAGGUGCGAAAGCAUGGGGAGCAAACAGGAUUAGAUACCCUG